GGGGGUGAUACAGGUUUCGACGGGGUAUUGAAGAAGUCGAGUGCAAGCAGGUUAGAUACGACCUUAACAGUUCAAAAACAAUAGUUGCAAAUAACAACAACCAUUUCGACGUCGCUCUAGCAGCGUAAUCGGGAGGCCGCUCAAAGCCUUCUAUCCAAUUUGAGCAAAACAACAGAUAAGUUGUAAAAAUCAAACCAUUUAAUGCAACAGGGCGGUAAGCAUUAGAUUAUUGCCGUCUAUCUUUGUCGGUAAGUGAUAGAAACCGACUACGCUUGUGAAUGACUUAAUUUUGGACGUAUUGCGGACGCGGGUUCGACUCCCGCCACCUCCACCA
rnacentral:tmRNA from 1 species